ensembl:snRNA U6 U6 spliceosomal RNA
GUGCUCGCUUCAGCAGCACAUAUACUAAAAUUGGAAAGAUACAGAGAUUAGCAUGGCCCCUGCGCAAAGAUGACAUGCAAAUUUGUGAAGCAUUCCAUAUUGUU